rnacentral:rRNA from 1 species
UACGUAGGGUGCGAGCGUUGUCCGGAAUUAUUGGGCGUAAAGAGCUCGUAGGCGGUUUGUCGCGUCGACUGUGAAAACCUACAGCUUAACUGUGGGCUUGCAGUCGAUACGGGCAGACUUGAGUUCGGUAGGGGAGACUGGAAUUCCUGGUGUAGCGGUGAAAUGCGCAGAUAUCGGGAGGAACACCGGUGGCGAAGGCGGGUCUCUGGGCCGAUACUGACGCUGAGGAGCGAAAGCGUGGGGAGCGAACAGG